GUGCUUGCUUUGGCAGUACAUAUACUAGAAUUGGAAUGAUACAGGGAAGAUUAGCAUGGCCCCUGCGCAAGGAUGACACACAAGGUCAUGAAGCUUUCCAUAUUUUU
rnacentral:snRNA from 1 species